GAUGAACGCUGGCGGCGUGCCUAAUACAUGCAAGUCGAGCGAACGGACGAGAAGCUUGCUUUUCUGAUGUUAGCGGCGGACGGGUGAGUAACACGUGGAUAACCUACCUAUAAGACUGGGAUAACUUCGGGAAACCGGAGCUAAUACCGGAUAAUAUUUUGAACCGCAUGGUUCAAAAGUGAAAGACGGUCUUGCUGUCACUUAUAGAUGGAUCCGCGCUGCAUUAGCUAGUUGGUAAGGUAACGUCUUACCAAGGCAACGAUGCAUAGCCGACCUGAGAGGGUGAUCGGCCACACUGGAACUGAGACACGGUCCAGACUCCUACGGGAGGCAGUAGUAGGGAAUCUUCCGCAAUGGGCGAAAGCCUGACGGAGCAACGCCGCGUGAGUGAUGAAGGUCUUCGGAUCGUAAAACUCUGUUAUUAGGGAAGAACAUAUGUGUAAGUAACUGUGCACAUCUUGACGGUACCUAAGCAGAAAGCCACGGCUAACUACGU
rnacentral:rRNA from 1 species